GGAAUCUUCCGCAAUGGGCGAAAGCCUGACGGAGCAACGCCGCGUGAGUGAUGAAGGUCUUAGGAUCGUAAAACUCUGUCGUUAGGGAAGAAAAAGGACAGUACCUAAGGAGGAAGCUCCGGCUAACUACGUGCCAGCAGCCGCGGUAAUACGUAGGGAGCAAGCGUUAUCCGGAUUUAUUGGGUGUAAAGGGUGCGUAGACGGGAUAAUAAGUUAGUUGUGAAAUCCCUCGGCUCAACUGAGGAACUGCAACUAAAACUGUUAUUCUUGAGUGUUGGAGAGGAAAGCGGAAUUCCUAGUGUAGCGGUGAAAUGCGUAGAUAUUAGGAGGAACACCAGUGGCGAAGGCGGCUUUCUGGACAAUAACUGACGUUGAGGCACGAAAGUGUGGGGAGCAAACAG
rnacentral:rRNA from 1 species